GCUUGGAAUCGAAGUUAAAGGGCAAUAAUGUGCAGCAGUGAAGGAAGUAUGCACGUACGUUCUGCACUUCAAUUUGUUUGUUUGAAAUACUUGUACAUGGAAGGUGAUGCAAGGAAAAAGGCAAUAUCCAGUGUAUGAUCAAGCAAAUUGUUUUCUGUGUAACGAAAGUAUGCACAGAAAUGAGAAAGCCUAUACAUUGCUGCAACUGUUGUGAUAUUAAAUAAUGCAGACUAUCUCAGGUCGAUCAGGUAUAUGUGGAAUAAGAAUAAUAUCUCAAGUCAAGAUUGAAACCUGCAACUUUAGGAAAGAGGCUCUCAAUGUUCUUUAUGGCAGAUGCCCUAAAUUUAGAAACAAUGUUCAGCAAAAAAUAGCAGUAAUUUGUUUUGCGAAAAGGUUACAAGUAUGACACCAGAUUUGAGAUAACAACCAGCUAUAAGUUUUAGGCCAACAAAGAAGAAAGAUCGUUUUGUUUGUUCGUAGUCUUGUUUGUGCAGUAACCUUAUCCCUGAAGUCAAUAUAUGUGAUACGAAAACUAGAUUUUUUUUUGCUUUUAAUUAAUGGGUUCACUCGAUUCUACGCUUCUAUUUCAAUUCCUUUGUUUAUCUGUUUUUAUAAGAUAAAAAAUAGAUGUGAAAUAGUUUUAAUAUAAAGAUAGCCAUUUAUCGCCACACAGACACAAAAUUCAAACAACAGGAUAAUGGGGCAUUCCAGACUUUCCAGAAUCCAGAGCACUUAAUACAUUCGACUACUCUCCUGGUGGCGGACAUAAGAAGUUCAACAUGAAUCUUGAUUUUGUUUUAAAUUUUUACGUGGAACCUGUUAUCCACGUAAAUAUGAUGUCGAUUUUAAUGAUAGCUGUUAAAUUUUGAAUGAAAAUCUGGUGUUUUUAACCAGGUCUAGAAUUUAGUCAAAAAUGAAAAAGUGAGAAGGCUAUACCCUUCUCAUUUUUGCCAAAAUCGGCAAAAAACUAAAUCUCUUGGAAUCCGUUUAAAAUCACACGUAAUACUAAACAUAAAUUGCUUAUUUAGGAAAAUUGAUUUGUUUUCUCGUCAAUUUAUCUGCUUUAGAAAUAUUUUAAAUAAUUGUACUGUGUGACGCUAGCGCUACAUUGUGCUAGCGCGCCAGCUUUUUUACCCAUUUUUAACGUUUAUUUCAGGAGUUUCAAGUCCCACGAGACAACGAACUCAAUUUUUUGAAUCUGUUAGUUAAAUUUUAAAUGCAAAUCCCGUAUUUUCAUAUUAAACUGAGGUUUAAAAAAGUACAAAAUUGGCAAAAAAAGUGGGGCUUAUGUUGUCGGGCUUAUUUCGAAGCUUGAUAGGUGAUUGGGUUACAGAUAGAAAAACAAGAUGGCGUUAUUGUUCUUCCAUGAUGACUGACAAGGUGUAACGAGUAAAUUAGCUGUUAGCGAUGUUUCUUAACUUUCUUGUGCUUGAAAGGAUUUCUCACGUGAAAAUUAACAGGUUUCCCUCAUUAUCAGCUAUUCAGGCUGCUGAUCCAGAAAAUACUAAACUACCGAUGUCUUUUUUCUGUUAUGUCAUCUCUCAUUGAAGAUGAGCUCAGCCCUUUUCAGUCUCCCAUUUAACCAAAUGGCAUAUCUCAUUUCAUUGAAAUCAUGAUCUUUAAACUAAAUGCACAAGUCUUCACUUACUUUGCAUUGACAUCUGAUCAACCAUUAUCUAAAUUAUCCAGUCUUCAGCAGUUUUCCGCCCUAGCCAAAAAUCAAACAGUAGUAUCUCAAUCAUCCAGCCAUCACUACUUCCGAACUUAAGUCAGCUAUCGUUUAUAGACUUCAACUUCUUUUCACGAACUUCGAAAUUUUGGUCGUUGGAUCCCGUCUUGACCAUAUCUUCACCUUUUUCCGUAGCUGACCAACACGCAUAGACUUUAAUGCUGUCGCCUUCAUUGAGAUUGUCAAUUGUCCAUCAUCAUCAUGUCUGCCGAAAAAUCGCUGUUCAAUUCAAGUCAUCAAGUCAUGCCUCCUUACGGAUCUUCCACGCAUCGGAAAGAGC